rnacentral:rRNA from 1 species
ACCAGACGAUGCGGUUACCGCGGCUGCUGGCACGGAGUUAGCCGGUGCUUCUUCUGUGAGUGAUGUCCUUCCUGCCGGCUAUUAACCCGCAGGCCUUCUUCCUCACUGAAAGUGCUUUACAACCCGAAGGCCUUCUUCACACACGCGGCAUGGCUGGAUCAGGGUUGCCCCCAUUGUCCAAUAUUCCCCACUGCUGCCUCCCGUAGGAGUCUGGGCCGUGUCUCAGUCCCAGUGUGGCUGAUCAUCCUCUCAGACCAGCUACGGAUCGUCGCCUUGGUGAGCCGUUACCUCACCAACCAGCUAAUCCGACAUAGGCUCAUCCGAUAGCGCGAGGCCCGAAGGUCCCCCGNUUUCCCCCGUAGGGCGUAUGCGGUAUUAGCCUGGGUUUCCCCAGGUUAUCCCCCACUACCGGGCAGAUUCCUAUGCAUUACUCACCCGUCCGCCGCUCGCCACCAGGGAGCAAGCUCCCCGUGCUGCCGCUCGACUUGCAUGUGUUAGGCCUGCCGCCAGCGUUCAAU